UGUAUACUAUAUCUUGUUGGUGCAGUAUUCUAGUGAUAUUGCUUAUUAUGAGAGUGGGGCUAAAAAUCCACUAAAAGGCUGACACGAAUUUUAUAUUUUGCGCGGGACGCCAAGCUUGUGUGAUAUAUAAAAUAUGAGAAUAGGAAAAUAUAUAAUGGCAUAUAUAUUAACUCCUCUUUUCGCAUAGUCUAUCAAUAGCCUGUUUUGAGUGAUAGUCUUGGGAUUAACUUAAAAAAUAAGAUUAUUUGGCCAAAUAGUUUUAUUAUUUGUUAUGAAAUCACUAUUGCAAAAAGAACUAGUAAUAAACGUAAUAUUUCAAGGAAAUCUUCUAGACUGUUUGCAUCAAAUGUGAGAAGUUUUAUGGAUUAAGAUACGGAUUUAAGUGGCAAUCUGGUAGCCAAAUUUUUGGAUGCUCUGAUUAAAUGGAAACAACUAAACAGUAAUGGUUAGUUCGGAGUAGAGAAAUUCGACUAGACCUAAACCGUAAAAUUUACGUAUAACUUUACCAACAAAAUAAAUAAAAAA
rnacentral:sRNA from 1 species